ACAACAGCCACUGAACAAGCAGAAAGAGAGGAGAUCAUGAAACAAAUGCAAGAUGCCAAGAAAGCUGAAACAGAUAAGAUAGUCGUUGGUUCAUCAGUUGCCCCUGGCAACACUGCCCCAUCCCCAUCCUCUCCCACCUCUCCUACUUCUGAUGCCACAACCUCUCUGGAGAUGAACAAUCCUCAUGCCAUCCCACGCCGGCAUGCUCCAAUUGAACAGCUUGCUCGCCAAGGCUCUUUCCGAGGAUUUCCUGCUCUUAGCCAGAAGAUGUCACCCUUUAAACGCCAACUAUCCCUACGCAUCAAUGAGUUGCCUUCCACUAUGCAGAGGAAGACUGAUUUCCCCAUUAAAAAUGCAGUGCCAGAGGUAGAAGGGGAGGCAGAGAGCAUCAGCUCCCUGUGCUCACAGAUCACCAAUGCCUUCAGCACACCUGAGGACCCCUUCUCAUCUGCUCCGAUGACCAAACCAGUGACAGUGGUGGCACCACAAUCUCCUACCUUCCAAGGUUGGUGCCCUCUGACCUGCUCAGCUGUUCUCUUUACAACCAGUAUGUUUAGUACACUGCUCACUAACUGUAAGAUGAGCUUCCCAAGGCCUGGUCAGACCCAUUA
rnacentral:sRNA from 1 species